UUUACUGCAGCACAGUGCGCGUAGUGAUCAGACUCAGCCCAGGUGCUACUAAAACAGCAAGUCAUGUAAAGAUGAUAACUUCAACGACUUGUGAUCGGGAACAUGCGAUUAACCUGAACUAAUAAAAACGCCUCGUAACAUUUUAACAGCGUGACGGGAAACUUUUAAACACAACGUUGAAUCAUUAACGACACUCGUGCGUUUGGCAGGGGCUGCCAAAAAGUCUCCACACCGCUGGAUUCAAGUACUCAGACAAGCCAGUGAAGAACACAUGCAGAGCACGAAUUCAUUUUCCCUUAAGCAGCGUUUGAAACCGAACCCCACUCGAUCUGAUCAUAUGCUGCAGUCUUUGAGGUCAUGCUUGGUGGCUGAGCUACCCCACACUAUGACAGCUGUGUAGAAACGCACCAUCAGCUCCUGGGGCAGGUUGAACUUCCUCAGCUGACGCAGGAAUUACAUCCUCUGCUGGGCUUUCUUGAUGAUGGAGCUGAUGUUGCUAUCCCACUUCAGGUCCCUGGUGAUUGUUGUGCCCAGGAACUUGCAGGACUCCACUGGCAUCACAGUACUGUCCAGGAUGGUGAGUGCUGGCAGGGCUGGCGGGCUCCUCUUGAAGUCUUCUGUCAUCUCCACUGUUUUCGCUGUGCUCAGCACCAAUUGUUGAAUUGUUGUUCUUGAGUGUUCAAGCUGUUGGAGAAUAAAAUGGAGUCCCAUGUUCA